AGAACGAACGCUGGCGGCAGGCCUAACACAUGCAAGUCGAACGAGAUCUUCGGAUCUAGUGGCGCACGGGUGAGUAACGCGUGGGAACCUGUCCUUCGGUACGGAAUAACAUCGGGAAACUGGUGCUAAUACCGUAUAUUCCCUGAGGGGGAAAGAUUUAUCGCCGAAGGAGGGGCCCGCGUAGGAUUAGCUAGUUGGUGAGGUAACGGCUCACCAAGGCGACGAUCCUUAGCUGGUCUGAGAGGAUGAUCAGCCACACUGGGACUGAGACACGGCCCAGACUCCUACGGGAGGCAGCAGUGGGGAAUAUUGGACAAUGGGCGAAAGCCUGAUCCAGCCAUGCCGCGUGUGUGAUGAAGGCCUUCGGGUUGUAAAGCACUUUCACACGUGACGAUGAUGACGGUAACGUGAGAAGAAGCCCGGCUAACUUCGUGCCAGCAGCCGC
rnacentral:rRNA from 1 species